rnacentral:lncRNA from 1 species
GCUACCUGAUUUCAAACUAUACUACAAGGCUACAGUAACCAAAACAGCAUGGUACUGGUACCAAAACAGAUAUAUAGAUCAAUGGAACAGAAUGUUCUCACUGAUAGGUGAGUAUUGAACAAUGAGAACACUUGGACACAGGGUGGGGAACAUCACAUAAAGGUGCCUGUCAUGGGGUGGGGGGAGGGAGGAGGGAUGUCUUGAUUGUAAUAAUGGAUUUUGGAUAUGCACAUACAUAAUAAUGAAUUAUAGAUUUUAAAUAUGUGCAGAGUAUUGUAAGCCAGUUAUACUUUAAUAAGGCUGUUAAACAUAAAUAAAAUUUUUUUUAAAAAGUGUUUUGCUUUCAUCUCUAACAGAUAUUUUCACUCAGUUCAGAAUGCUAGCUUUACAAUUAUUUUCAUUCAGUUUUUUGGUAAGUUU